UGCAGCGGAACAAACUGGUUUCGAAUCUCCUUGAAUCUGCUUUGCAAGAGUUGCUGAUGCAACUCCUCUACUUUGCUCUCAUGUCUCACUCUAUGGAAGAGAGGGGAUGAAGGUUUAGGUGUCACACCAAAGAAGAAGGAGAGAGGAGGGAUGGCAUAGAGAAAGGAGGAAGGGCACCUAGAUCAAAUCCCCCACCCAUCUUUUUUCUUUUUGUGAUUUUCUCUAUGUAUCUCACCCCUUCUUAAUGCCCUCUUUUAUGGUUUGUCGCACAAACCAGAUAUGGCAUGCCAUCAAGAGAUAAGAGGCCUAAUUGGAAUGUAAUUCAAAUUGCCUCUUAUCCCUAAAGAGACCCAAGGAAGAAGGGAGGCGCCAAACUUGCACUUUCUCUCAUUACUACACACAC
rnacentral:lncRNA from 1 species